rnacentral:lncRNA from 1 species
ACUAAAACAGUCAAACGGAUGCAUUUAACACAAGGACUUCACAUGACAGUAACUGUGGGUUUGUGAUUAAAAAAAAAAAAAGCAUCUCUACUUUUUGCUUUUUAAGAAAUCCUUUUGUGUUAUGGAUGGGUUAUUUAUUUAUUUAAUUAAUUUUUUUUUGGCAGCAAAAUGACUCCACGUAGUUCCCAAAGCACUCCUUCUUGGUCCUCUGAAGCUGUCUGCAGGGUGUUCUUCACUCCUUUGAACAAGCUGAGAAUACAGAGUCAUGAUCUCCUGGUACCUGUAAAUCCACUGUAUCUUCCUGGGCGCCGUGGCGCACGCUGAGGCAUCUGAGGCCGGUUAGGGUUUGCCAAGGCCUCCCCCUUAGAGACCACUCAUUCCCACUUACAAACAGAGAGGCCUGUCAUUAACAAGGAGCAAACCGAGUUUGACUUGUUUUCAUGCCCAUGGGGGGCGGGUCAAUGGGAAAACUCCAUUUGGAAUUGUCCACAGUCCCUAGAAAUGUCUAGAAAUCCCAUCCUCUUGGGGAAGGCGGGGAAGGACACAGACAUUUAGUGUUAAUAGGCAGACACUAAGGAACCCUACCUCCUCAGCCUCCCUUAGGGUGGUCUCAGGAAAUAAGGAAAUAUUUCGGUCUGCUAAAUAGCAGGAGGUUUGUGGGCCUGGGUGCAGGCAUGAUCCCCAUCCUGGAAGGCCUUUCUGAGCUGUGGAAACCCUGCUGGCCUUUGAGGGAGGGGGUGUUCAUAGAAAGUACCAUUUGUUACCAUUUCCCAACCAACUAAUGCACUUCCUAUUUGGUAUGAGUACUAGUGAAGUUCCCAGUCUUCAGUCUGAAAAUUCUAAAGCCCUUUAAAGUCUGAAGAACGAAAACAGACCGUGUGAGUCACCCCCGAGAGUGAGCUACUUUGGCUUUCCUUCUUAGGGAUACAUUAAUUAGAAAACAACAUUUGGAAGAACAGGAGAAUAUGCUGGCUCUCACAGUGCCUGCAGAGGGGUCGACAGAAUGUGAUCACUUGGUCAAGGAGAGCAUAGAAGAAGAAAAAAAAACAAACGAACAAACGUUUCAGCAGUGUCUAAAAAUUGUUC